UGUCUAAGUACACGCCAAAACAAGGCAAAACCGCGAAUGGCUCAUUAAAUCAGUUGUGGUUUCUUAGAUUAUAAAUAAUUACUUGGAUAACUGUGGUAAUUCUAGAGCUAAUACAUGCUACAAACGCUUCGUCCUCGCGGACGGAGAGCUUUUAUUAGAUCAGGAUCAAUGAGGCUUCGCUUAGGCGAUCCUCUUUAAAUCUUGGUGACUCUGAAUAACCAUUAUGCUGAUCGCACGGUCACGUACCGGCGACGAAUCUUUCAAGUGUCUGCCUUAUCAACUGUCGAUGGUAGGUUAAGCGCCUACCAUGGUUGUCACGGGUAACGGGGAAUCAGGGUUCGAUUCCGGAGAGGGAGCCUGAGAAACGGCUACCACAUCCAAGGAAGGCAGCAGGCGCGCAAAUUACCCACUCCCGGCACGGGGAGGUAGUGACGAAAAAUAACGAUACGGGACUCAUAUGAGGCCCCGUAAUCGGAAUGAGUACAAUUUAAAUCCUUUAACAAGGAUCCACUGGAGGGCAAGUCUGGUGCCAGCAGCCGCGGUAAUUCCAGCUCCAGUAGUCUACAUUAAAGCUGUUGCGGAUAAAAAGCUCGUAGUUGGAUCUCGGUUCGAGG
rnacentral:rRNA from 1 species